CGUCUGUGUUCUUCAAAUGACACGACGAGCAGCUUCCGGGAAACCAAAGCUUUUGGAUUCCGGGGGRAG
rnacentral:rRNA from 1 species